AACGAACGCUGGCGGCGCGCUUAACACAUGCAAGUCGAACGAGAAGGCGUAGCAAUACGCUUGUACAGUGGCGAACGGGUGAGUAAUACGUGGGCGACCUACCCUCGAGUGGGGAAUAACCCGCCGAAAGGCGGGCUAAUGCCGCGUACGCUUCCAUCUUUAUGGAGGUGGAAGGAAAGCCGUGCCGUGGGCACGGCGCUCAAGGAUGGGCUCACGUCCUAUCAGCUUGUGGUAGGAACGGCCUACCAAGGCUCCGACGGGUAGCUGGUCUGAGAGGACGAUCAGCCACACUGGCACUGCGACACGGGCCAGACUCCUACGGGAGGCAGCAGUGAGGAUAUUGCGCAAUGGGCGAAAGCCUGACGCAGCGACGCCGCGU
rnacentral:rRNA from 1 species